GGUAGGAGGAGACUUCAAAAUCACCCUGGCCACGUGGGGCUUUUUAAACAGAGCAAUUACUUGAGCUUGAGAGUUCUGGGCUGCAGUGUGCUAUGCCAGUUGGGUGUCUGCAUCAAUAUGGGGACCCCCCCCCACCGCCACCAAAAGCAGGGGACCAUCAGGUUGCCUAAGGAGGAGUGAACUGGCCCAGGUCAGAAAUGGAGCAGGUCAAAACUCCUGCACGGGUCAGUAGUGCGAUUGCACCUGUGACUAGCCACUGCAUCCCAGCCUGGGCAACAUCGUGAGACCCUGUCUCA
rnacentral:SRP_RNA from 1 species